AUGGAAUAUCACAGUGCACACUUUCAAAUAAUCCCGAUUUUCUGAUAUUUAUUGCUAGAAAAUAACAUUGAUGGAUAAUCAAAACAAAACUGUACCUUUUCCCCUGACUCCAUCCUCUUUUGUAUUAUCUGUGACUGCUUAACUAUCCUGACUUUGAUAUCUUCCCAGAUCCUGUCCCUCAAACAUAAAAACCAUACUCUCACAUGCAGACACACAAACAUAUAGCGUACAGACGGACAUGAUUAAGGAUAUACAGGAACAGAAAGAGAGACACAUACAUGGAUAUGCACUAAAGUGAGAUUUAUUAGGAAUUUAAACUCCCUUUUAAAUUAAAGGUCAGAAAAACUAAGCAU